rnacentral:lncRNA from 1 species
AUGAAUUAGUCUAUUUCUCCCCCAAACCCUUCUUCUUCUCUAUCCCUUAUCUCUAUUCCAAUUCUUUUCCCUAACCCUCACCUCUCAAUCCUCAUCCUCAUCUGUCUAUCUCUCUACCUCUAUUUCUCUUCUCUCUAUCUCAAUCUCAAUUUCUAUCUCUAUUUCCUUACCUCUCUAGCCUCGGUUACCGAUUACGUUACCUCGGAUCCGCGACCGGAAGCACCAAGAACCUGAUCCGAGCCAUAAGGGAUAUUACAGAAUCGUCUUCUCCUUGGUCGUAUCCUCUUCUCCCCUCGCUCAAACCCCCUCGCUCUCCUCCUCCUCCUUCGUCGCCGCAACCGAUGAGUUAGGGUUCCGGCGGCUGGAGUUCAGCCGCGAGGAUCUCGCGGGGACCGUCGCCGGAGGAGUAAGCGCCAAACGUCGAGGCGACGACGGUGGUGGGGAAGCAGGAGUCCGGCGACCUGGUUGUGCUCGCGGCGGCGUCGAAGGCGUGGAAGGGGUAGACGGAGAAGAAGGUGAGCUCGAUCGAUCGAUUAUCCCAUAUAUUAAUCUCUUGUUAGAAUCUCUUGGCAUAUAUAUAUGGUAAAAGUUUUCUAUACGAUUUGAUUUUGACCCGUAGAAUUUCUAUUUACCCCGUAGAAUCUUUUGCUUUCCACUACAAGAUUUAUAUAUCAUAGUUUGUCCCGCAGAAUUUCUAUUUACCUACAACACAAUAAUCAUAGCAGAGCAUGCAACACAAUAAGAACUUGUUGAAUUUUUUAAUUAUAUGACAUUAAAUAUCAAGAUUUGAGUUAUUGGUAUUAGUACCAUAAUAAUUUUUAUUUUGUUAUGUAAUUUUCUAGUUCAUUUGAUAUGGGACAAUUUGAGGUACAUAUAUAUACAGGGCGUGGUAAAGAAAAGGUAGAAUUGAGAAAAGAACACCAAUUAAUUAUUAAAACUUGAGGUAAGCAAAAAAUUCAAAAUGAUUUUGACAAUGAAUAAUAAACAUCAACUUAAAGUAAUAAUAGUUGAGAAAUUAACCCUUCUUGUGGGGAAAUUAAAGCACCUUGCACUUGCUUUAGCCAUCAAAUGAUGUUUGCAAGUCUCAAUCCUCUAGAAAGAAGAUAUUCGUCCAAUCAAAUUGGAAAUCUAGAUGUAGGCAAAUUUUUUCACCUGCUUUAUAAUUUUUUUUUGUUUAAAGAAGCCCGUAGGUUGUUUCUUAACCCCGAAAGAUACCCUAAUAAAAGCUAUUUCAGAUUUCAGAUGAGCACUAGCGUGGAUAUAAAUCUUACAUUCUAUUCAUCCAACAGUUUUUUUUUCAGCAGUCUUAUUAAUUAUGUUAUUUAAUACUAUAAU